GCUGAACUUAAGCAUAUCAAUAAGCGGAGGAAAAGAAACCAACAGGGAUUGCCUCAGUAACGGCGAGUGAAGCGGCAACAGCUCAAAUUUGAAAUCUGGCCUCGGCCCGAGUUGUAAUUUGUAGAGGAAGCUUUUGGUGCGGCACCGACCGAGUCCCCUGGAACGGGGCGCCAUAGAGGGUGAUAGCCCCGUAUGGUUGGACGCCUAUCCUCUGUAAAGCUCCUUCGACGAGUCGAGUAGUUUGGGAAUGCUGCUCUAAAUGGGAGGUAGAUUCCUUCUAAAGCUAAAUACCGGCCAGAGACCGAUAGCGCACAAGUAGAGUGAUCGAAAGAUGAAAAGCACUUUGAAAAGAGGGUUAAAUAGCACGUGAAAUUGUUGAAAGGGAAGCGCCUGUGACCAGACUUGCGCCCCGUCGAUCAUCCGGGGUUCUCCCCGGUGCGCUCGGCGGGGCUCAGGCCAGCAUCGGUUCUCGCGGGGGGACAAAGGCUCCGGGAACGUAGCUCCUCCGGGAGUGUUAUAGCCCGGGGCGUAAUGCCCUCGCGGGGACCGAGGACCGCGCUUCGGCAAGGAUGCUGGCGUAAUGGUCACCGGCGACCCGUCUUGAAACACGGACCAAGGAGUCAAGGUUUUGCGCGAGUGUCUGGGUGUAAAACCCGCACGCGUAAUGAAAGUGAACGUAGGUGAGAGCUUCGGCGCAUCAUCGACCGAUCCUGAUGUAUUCGGAUGGAUUUGAGUAGGAGCGUUAAGCCUUGGACCCGAAAGAUGGUGAACUAUGCUUGGAUAGGGUGAAGCCAGAGGAAACUCUGGUGGAGGCUCGCAGCGGUUCUGACGUGCAAAUCGAUCGUCAAAUCUGAGCAUGGGGGCGAAAGACUAAUCGAACCAUCUAGUAGCUGGUUACCGCCGAAGUUUCCCUCAGGAUAGCAGUGUUGUUCUUCAGUUUUAUGAGGUAAAGCGAAUGAUUAGGGACUCGGGGGCGCUCUUUAGCCUUCAUCCAUUCUCAAACUUUAAAUAUGUAAGAAGCCCUUGUUACUUAGCUGAACGUGGGCGUUCGAAUGUACCAACACUAGUGGGCCAUUUUUGGUAAGCAGAAC
rnacentral:rRNA from 1 species